rnacentral:rRNA from 1 species
AUUGAACGCUAGCGGGAUGCUUUACACAUGCAAGUCGAACGAGUGGCGGACGGGUGAGUAAUAUAUCGGAACGUGCCCAGUAGCGGGGGAUAACUACUGGAAAGAGUGGCUAAUACCGCAUCCCAUGUGAUCGGCCGAUAUCGGAUUAGCUAGGUGGUGGGGUAAAGGCUCACCAAGGCGACGAUCCGUAGCCGGUUUGAGAGGACGACCAGCCACACUGGGACUGAGACACGGCCCAGACUCCUAAGGGAGGCAGCAGUGGGGAAUAUUGGACAAUGGGGGAAAGCCUGAUGCAGCCAUGCCGCGUGUAUGAGAAGGCCUUCGGGUUGUAAAGUACUGUUGGCAGAGAAGCGGUAUCUGCAGAAGAAGCACCGGCUAACUACGUGCCAGCAGCCGCGGUAAUUC